rnacentral:tRNA from 1 species
AGUCUCAUGGUGUAAUGGUUAGCACUCUGGACUUUGAAUCCAGCGAUCUGAGUUCAAAUCUCGGUGAGACCU